CCUACGGGAGGCUGCAGUGGGGAAUAUUGCACAAUGGGCGCAAGCCUGAUGCAGCCAUGCCGCGUGUGUGAAGAAGGCCUUCGGGUUGUAAAGCACUUUCAGCGGGGAGGAAGGCGGUGAGGUUAAUAACCUCAUCGAUUGACGUUACCCGCAGAAGAAGCACCGGCUAACUCCGUGCCAGCAGCCGCGGUAAUACGGAGGGUGCAAGCGUUAAUCGGAAUUACUGGGCGUAAAGCGCACGCAGGCGGUCUGUCAAGUCGGAUGUGAAAUCCCCGGGCUCAACCUGGGAACUGCAUUCGAAACUGGCAGGCUAGAGUCUUGUAGAGGGGGGUAGAAUUCCAGGUGUAGCGGUGAAAUGCGUAGAGAUCUGGAGGAAUACCGGUGGCGAAGGCGGGCCCCUGGACAAGGACUGACGCUCAGGUGCGAAAGCGUGGGGAGCAAACAGGAUUAGAUACCCGUGUAGUC
rnacentral:rRNA from 1 species